CCUACGGGUGGCAGCAGUGGGGAAUAUUGCACAAUGGGCGAAAGCCUGAUGCAGCAACGCCGCGUGAGCGAUGAAGGCCCUCGGGUCGUAAAGCCUUGUUCUCAAGGAAGAUAAUGACGGUACUUGUGGAGGAAGCCCCGGCUAACUACGUGACAGCAGCCGCGGUAAUAUGUAGGGGGCUAGCGUUAUCCGGAAUUACUGGGCGUAAAGGGGGCGUAGGUGGUUUCUUAGGUCAGAGGUGAAAGGCUAGGGCUCAACCGUAGUAAGCCUUUGAAACUGGGGAACUUGAGUGCAGGAGAGGCAGGUGGAAUUCCUGGUGUAGCGGUGAAAUGCGUAGAUAUUGGGAAGAACACCAGUUGCGAAGGCAGCUCUCUGGACUGUAACUGACGCUGAGGCACGAAAGCGUGGGGAGCGAACAGGAUUAGAUACCCUAGUAGUC
rnacentral:rRNA from 1 species